rnacentral:rRNA from 1 species
ACAACGAAGAGUUUGAUCCUGGCUCAGGAUGAACGCUAGCGACAGGCUUAACACAUGCAAGUCGAGGGGCAGCGGGGUGUAGCAAUACACUGCCGGCGACCGGCGCACGGGUGCGUAACGCGUAUGCAACCUUCCUUCAAGCGGGGGAUAAUCCGGCGAAAGCCGGUCUAAUACCCCAUAACACAGGGGCGCCGCCUGGCGAUAUUUGUUAAAGGAGCAAUCCGCUUGAAGAUGGGCAUGCGUUCCAUUAGAUAGUUGGUGAGGUAACGGCUCACCAAGUCUUCGAUGGAUAGGGGUUCUGAGAGGAAGGUCCCCCACACUGGUACUGAGACACGGACCAGACUCCUACGGGAGGCAGCAGUGAGGAAUAUUGGUCAAUGGCCGGAAGGCUGAACCAGCCAAGUCGCGUGAAGGAUGAAGGAUCUAUGGUUCGUAAACUUCUUUUAUGGGGGGGUAAAACGGGGGACGUGUCCCUCUUUGCAAGUACCUCAUGAAUAAGCAUCGGCUAACUCCGUGCCAGCAGCCGCGGUAAUACGGAGGAUGCGAGCGUUAUCCGGAUUUAUUGGGUUUAAAGGGUGCGUAGGUGGAGAUUUAGGUCAGCGGUGAAAGUU